CGUCCCUAAAGUAUACAUAAGUCAUUACAUCUCAUUUAUAAAGGUGACUGGAGGGCAGUAAUAACAAUAACAACAUUUAUGGAGGAUGUACUGUGGGCCGGGACCUGGGCUAAACACAUGUCAAGGUAUCUCCCUUGUCCCACCAAAGCCUUGAGUGAGUGGUCACCUCUCCAGCUCCGGGACCUUAGCAGCUGCAGGACUGGACCCAGGCAGCCUGACUGCAGAGACCUUGUUCUUCCUGUAACCUCUAUACCCUCCUGGGCUCUGAUGAGUCACCUUGGAAUCUACAGGAGCAGCCCACUGAGCCACACUACUCCAAAGCGACUUAGUGUAUCCAAGCCGCCGCUGAGAUGGGAGAGGCAGGGAGUGCACGUUCCCAGGCUCAGGAGUGAGAUGACACCAGAUCUACAGCUCUAGCCCUGACCUUGCGGAUGGGCCCCUACCGGUCCACGGAUGUCCACCUGGCACUGGCUUAUCAACAAGACAGACAAGCAUGGAUGCAGAGCUGACUAGCAAGCACUUCCUAAGCGACCUUGAGCGUGUGAGUCAGGGGAGUCCAGAUGAGGUAUGUAAACAAUUCCCAAAUCUCAGGAGCUUAAACCAAUAAAGGUCUGUUUCACGUUCCUAUUAACAUGUGCAUUCUAUGCUGGUUGGGCUCUGUUCUGGAUCCUCUUUUCCUCUCAAUCCAGGACUCAAGCCAAUGGAGCAGUCAGACUGAAUAUGGUCAGUCUGUAGCAGAGGAAAAUAAAGGACUCCAGAAGGUCCCUCACCAGCAAUUGUAUUGUAUGCUUGGCCUCAAACUAGCAAUAUCCCUUCCAACAACCCCACCCAACUUCAGGGAGUUAGAAAAUACAAUCUGACUCUAGCUCUCCAACUUCAGGACACAGAUAUACUUGGUGAAUAGCCUGGUGCCUUCUACAGUGAGUUAAUCCACUGCGCUUAGCCUCAGUGACCCAUAUGGAAAAUGGAGAUAAUUACACACACCUCCACAGAUUGUCAUAAAGGUUAAUCAGAGGUGACUCAUGUGGAGCACUUAGAAUAGUCCCUGGCCCAUAGGAGGUUCUCCAGAAAUACCAGCUCCUUUCCUUGCAUUCGAAACAGAAUUCUCAGUCUCCCACACCUGCUUCUGGCUGCCCACACCCCAUGUCUGAAAAAGAUGCCACCGUUUUUCUAGUCACUUUCAUUAAAAACCUGCCCGUUAUCUAUGAUCUCUGUUCAUCCUUCAUCAUGUUCCCCCAGUACAAUGACCUCCAAGUUUGGCCCAUGUGAGGUCUUCACUUUCCAUCACUACUGAGACCCAUCCUACGAUAGGAUUUUAUUAUCUUCUUGUAUCAGGAUUUUAAAAAAUUGCUAACAACAAAAACAAGCUCUGGUCAUCCUAGUUCCCCUCUCCACAAAAGGCAAAGCAGUAAAGGAGCACGGGAUUAUCCGAAGGCCACCAGACGGUCACACAGAAUAAUGGAAGGGCUGAACAUGAGGUCACAGGAUAGACGAGGAACAGGGCAGUGCCAUGGUCUCAAUCUGGACUGAGCCCCAUAGUAUAGACAGGGUCAGUGAGGCUCACACCAGUGCACGCUGUUCUCAGAGGCCACUGACGCGGACCAGACAGACCCCACCCCCAGCAAUAGCUUCCAUCCUUGGGUGUCAGAAACUAUGCAAUCAGCUCCCCCCGCCCCAAUGUGGCCCCAGUCCAAUCUUUUCUCAAUAUGCCAACCAGAUCAACUAGUCCUAAAGUUUGGGUUAAGUCACUUAAACUACUAUGACGAACAAUCAGGUGUCUACCAUGCACUAAACACUGUAUAAAACCUGGACCUUUGUGCCAAGCUAGCGAUAAAACCUUCAGAAAUUUGUUCUCCUUUGGCAUUUAGUUGUUCAGCCGUGUCCUUCAGCUGGCAUUAGAACUUUGGGGAUUUUAGCCCCACUCCACCUCUCCAGAUGGUAUCCUGACCACCCUCUCUAUUCCCUACAUGGGCUCCAUGUCCUUCCCACGCUGAGACCAACUGCGUGAGACCAACUGUUCUCUGAUGUGUCUUCUGAGUGUUCCUGCUGCUUGGGCUUCUGUUGAUGCCACUUUCUAGAGCUAGGUGGUCUCUUUCAUGCCAGCUCUCCCACAGAGCUUCCCCUGAGAGCCCACCUAGAAGU